CUGGAACACCUCUUGGAUAUCCUGUUGUUGCCCUGUGUCCUGGAGAUCGGGUCAGGCCCUUUCGUGUGCUCCAGCAGAUCACAGACGGGCUUAAGGUUCUAAAAAUGUAAUAAAAUUGUAAAUAGGCGGCGGAGAGGCACGGUGUCCAGA